UCUCCGUUGGUGAACCAGCGGAGGGAUCAUUACAGAGUUGCAAAACUCCCAAACCAUUGUGAACGUUACCUAUCCCGUUGCUUCGGCGGGCUGCCCGGGCCCCGCGCCCGGCGCCCCCCGGCCCCCCGUGGGCGCCCGCCGGAGGUAAACCAAACCCUUGAAUUGCAUGGCCUCUCUGAGUCGUCUGUACUGAAUAAGUCAAAACUUUCAACAACGGAUCUCUUGGUUCUG
rnacentral:misc_RNA from 1 species